UACGAAGGGUGCAAACGUUGCUCGGAAUUAUUGGGCGUAAAGCGCACGUAGGCGGCUUAGCAAGUCGGAAGUGAAAUCCCUCGGCUCAACCAAGGAAGUGCUUUCGAAACUGCUGAGCUUGAGUACUAAAGAGGAUCGCGGAAUUCCCGGUGUAGAGGUGAAAUUCGUAGAUAUCGGGAGGAACACCAGUGGCGAAGGCGGCGAUCUGGGUAGAUACUGACGCUGAGGCACGAAAGCGUGGGGAGCAAACAGGG
rnacentral:rRNA from 1 species